rnacentral:rRNA from 1 species
AUACGUAGGGGGCGAGCGUUGUCCGGAAUGAUUGGGCGUAAAGGGCGCGUAGGCGGCGCGGUAAGUCUGGAGUGAAAGUCCUGCUUUCAAGGUGGGAAUUGCUUUGGAUACUGUUGGGCUUGAGUGCAGGAGAGGUUAUCGGAAUUCCCGGUGUAGCGGUGAAAUGCGUAGAGAUCGGGAGGAACACCAGUGGCGAAGGCGGGUAACUGGACUGCAACUGACGCUGAGGCGCGAAAGUGUGGGGAGCAAACAGGAUUAGAUACCCUGGUAGUCCACACUGUAAACGAUGAAUGCUAGGUGUAAGAGGUAUCGACCCCUUUUGUGCCGGAGUCAACACAAUAAGCAUUCCGCCUGGGGAGUACGGCCGCAAGGUUGAAACUCAAAGGAAUUGACGGGG